rnacentral:misc_RNA from 1 species
AAUCUCCCACCCCAAGCGGUUUUUGAAUGAAACGGCUUGGCGGAUGGGGUCUGGAUGGGUGCCUCUGCCUGUGCUUACCUUUUAGCCCACAGGCUCGCCCGAAAUGCAUGAGCGCCUUGGGACACUUUGCAUCCGCCUCUCUUGUGGGGAGGAGGCGGCCAAGCAGUGUUUUUCUCCAGGCAUGGCAUGAUACGUCAUUUGCUAUGUCGCCCAAUGGAGGAAUGUUUGGUUGUGUCUGCGUGUGCUUCGAACUUGCCUCUGUGCAAAUCCCCUUUCAC